GCCGAGCCUUGUAACGUGGGCUUGUGACCCAAGUGGGGGCAACAAUGUGGUGGAAUGUUGGGCUGAUUCUGAAGGCUGGGCUUUGAGAAGCUAAUAUCUGGCCUGCCCUAUCCAAGCAUGAAAUUGAGUCACGUGGCCCAAACGAAAGUAUGGGCCUCUUGGCUCUUAGAGAGGGGCUCACGAACAGCACCCGCUCUGUGAUGUGGAAGGAUUACGGGCCGGCGCUACCAAGUCCAAUAAAAACCCGAUGGGCUUCCUAAUUAAACCACUAUUUUU
rfam:Nicotiana attenuata strain TT chromosome 12, whole genome shotgun sequence.